UCCACGCCGUAAACGAUGAGUGCUAGGUGUUGGGGAGACUCAGUGCCGCAGCUAACGCAAUAAGCACUCCGCCUGGGGAGUACGACCGCAAGGUUGAAACUCAAAGGAAUUGACGGGGACCCGCACAAGCAGCGGAGCAUGUGGUUUAAUUCGAAGCAACGCGAAGAACCUUACCAGGUCUUGACAUCCUCUGACAACCCAAGAGAUUGGGCUUUCCCUU
rnacentral:rRNA from 1 species